rnacentral:miRNA from 1 species
CCAUAGGGGCGUUUGCCCGUU